rnacentral:rRNA from 1 species
UACUAAUAGCUCGAUUGAUUUACUUUGCUGUGAGA